rnacentral:rRNA from 1 species
CAGUCGCCGCGGGAAUACGAAGGGUGCAAGCGUUAAUCGGAAUUACUGGGCGUAAAGCGUGCGUAGGCGGUUUGUUAAGUCUGCUGUGAAAUCCCCGGGCUCAACCUGGGAAUGGCAGUGGAUACUGGCAAGCUAGAGUGUGUCAGAGGAUGGUGGAAUUCCCGGUGUAGCGGUGAAAUGCGUAGAGAUCGGGAGGAACAUCAGUGGCGAAGGCGGCCAUCUGGGACAACACUGACGCUGAGGCACGAAAGCGUGAGGAGCAAACAGGAUUAGAUACCCCUGUAGUCCCUGUCUCUUAUAA